CGGCCGCGCCCCCGCCGGUUCUUAUAUCCGAGGCGGUAGCGAAGGCGGCGAGUGGAGGUGGCGCAUGGACAGCCACGGGAUGGUAUCGCUUCUCGUGCCGCUGGCGCUUGCGCUGCCCGGCGUCUGCGGAGACUCCGCGACCGUUCAUCGUGAUGUUACACGAGAGUGCAACUUCCGGGAAGUAUCCUAAAGAGAGGGGCACGCCCUCACCCUUUCCUCUCCCGCUGUCUUCUGGCUGGGAGAGGGCUGCAAUGGCUGGAGCAAGAGCAACCACUUUAGACCAUGAAGUGGCAUUAGGCACAGAGACUUCACAACACAGAGCAGCAAGAUGUAAGAAGCCUGGCUGGGUCUCUGAAACUGGGGAGCACCAGUCCUCCUCCAUGUACCCCAGGAUUUUUACAUGAAAAAUAAACUUCCGUUUUGCUUAA